rnacentral:rRNA from 1 species
GGUUAAGCGACUAAGCGUACACGGUGGAUGCCCUGGCAGUCAGAGGCGAUGAAGGACGUGCUAAUCUGCGAUAAGCGUCGGUAAGGUGAUAUGAACCGUUAUAACCGGCGAUUUCCGAAUGGGGAAACCCAGUGUGUUUCGACACACUAUCAUUAACUGAAUCCAUAGGUUAAUGAGGCGAACCGGGGAACUGAAACAUCUAAGUACCCCGAGGAAAAGAAAUCAACCGAGAUUCCCCAGUAGCGGCGAGCGAACGGGGAGGAGCCCAGAGCCUGAAUCAGUGUGUGUGUUAGUGGAAGCGUCUGGAAAGGCGCGCGAUACAGGGUGACAGCCCUGUACACAAAAAUGCACAUACUGUGAGCUCGAUGAGUAGGGCGGGACACGUGGUAUCCUGUCUGAAUAUGGGGGACCAUCCUCCAAGGCUAAAUACUCCUGACUGACCGAUAGUGAACCAGUACCGUGAGGGAAAGGCGAAAAGAACCCCGGCGAGGGGAGUGAAAAAGAACCUGAAACCGUGUACGUACAAGCAGUGGGAGCACGCUUAGGCGUGUGACUGCGUACCUUUGUAUAAUGGGUCAGCGACUUAUAUUCUGUAGCAAGGUUAACCGAAUAGGGGAGCCGAAGGGAAACCGAGUCUUAACUGGGCGUUAAGUUGCAGGGUAUAGACCCGAAACCCGGUGAUCUAGCCAUGGGCAGGUUGAAGGUUGGGUAACACUAACUGGAGGACCGAACCGACUAAUGUUGAAAAAUUAGCGGAUGACUUGUGGCUGGGGGUGAAAGGCCAAUCAAACCGGGAGAUAGCUGGUUCUCCCCGAAAGCUAUUUAGGUAGCGCCUCGUGAAUUCAUCUCCGGGGGUAGAGCACUGUUUCGGCAAGGGGUCAUCCCGACUUACCAACCCGAUGCAAACUGCGAAUACCGGAGAAUGUUAUCACGGGAGACACACGGCGGGUGCUAACGUCCGUCGUGAAGAGGGAAACAACCCAGACCGCCAGCUAAGGUCCCAAAGUCAUGGUUAAGUGGGAAACGAUGUGGGAAGGCCAAGACAGCCAGGAUGUUGGCUUAGAAGCAGCCAUCAUUUAAAGAAAGCGUAAUAGCUCACUGGUCGAGUCGGCCUGCGCGGAAGAUGUAACGGGGCUAAACCAUGCACCGAAGCUGCGGCAGCGACGCUUAUGCGUUGUUGGGUAGGGGAGCGUUCUGUAAGCCUGUGAAGGUGUGCUGUGAGGCAUGCUGGAGGUAUCAGAAGUGCGAAUGCUGACAUAAGUAACGAUAAAGCGGGUGAAAAGCCCGCUCGCCGGAAGACCAAGGGUUCCUGUCCAACGUUAAUCGGGGCAGGGUGAGUCGACCCCUAAGGCGAGGCCGAAAGGCGUAGUCGAUGGGAAACAGGUUAAUAUUCCUGUACUUGGUGUUACUGCGAAGGGGGACGGAGAAGGCUAUGUUGGCCGGGCGACGGUUGUCCCGGUUUAAGCGUGUAGGCUGGUUUUCCAGGCAAAUCCGGAAAAUCAAGGCUGAGGCGUGAUGACGAGGCACUACGGUGCUGAAGCAACAAAUGCCCUGCUUCCAGGAAAAGCCUCUAAGCAUCAGGUAACAUCAAAUCGUACCCCAAACCGACACAGGUGGUCAGGUAGAGAAUACCAAGGCGCUUGAGAGAACUCGGGUGAAGGAACUAGGCAAAAUGGUGCCGUAACUUCGGGAGAAGGCACGCUGAUAUGUAGGUGAAGUCCCUCGCGGAUGGAGCUGAAAUCAGUCGAAGAUACCAGCUGGCUGCAACUGUUUAUUAAAAACACAGCACUGUGCAAACACGAAAGUGGACGUAUACGGUGUGACGCCUGCCCGGUGCCGGAAGGUUAAUUGAUGGGGUCAGCGCAAGCGAAGCUCUUGAUCGAAGCCCCGGUAAACGGCGGCCGUAACUAUAACGGUCCUAAGGUAGCGAAAUUCCUUGUCGGGUAAGUUCCGACCUGCACGAAUGGCGUAAUGAUGGCCAGGCUGUCUCCACCCGAGACUCAGUGAAAUUGAACUCGCUGUGAAGAUGCAGUGUACCCGCGGCAAGACGGAAAGACCCCGUGAACCUUUACUAUAGCUUGACACUGAACAUUGAGCCUUGAUGUGUAGGAUAGGUGGGAGGCUUUGAAGUGUGGACGCCAGUCUGCAUGGAGCCGACCUUGAAAUACCACCCUUUAAUGUUUGAUGUUCUAACGUUGACCCGUAAUCCGGGUUGCGGACAGUGUCUGGUGGGUAGUUUGACUGGGGCGGUCUCCUCCUAAAGAGUAACGGAGGAGCACGAAGGUUGGCUAAUCCUGGUCGGACAUCAGGAGGUUAGUGCAAUGGCAUAAGCCAGCUUGACUGCGAGCGUGACGGCGCGAGCAGGUGCGAAAGCAGGUCAUAGUGAUCCGGUGGUUCUGAAUGGAAGGGCCAUCGCUCAACGGAUAAAAGGUACUCCGGGGAUAACAGGCUGAUACCGCCCAAGAGUUCAUAUCGACGGCGGUGUUUGGCACCUCGAUGUCGGCUCAUCACAUCCUGGGGCUGAAGUAGGUCCCAAGGGUAUGGCUGUUCGCCAUUUAAAGUGGUACGCGAGCUGGGUUUAGAACGUCGUGAGACAGUUCGGUCCCUAUUCUGCCGUGGGCGCUGGAGAACUGAGGGGGCUGCUCCUAGUACGAGAGGACCGGAGUGGACGCAUCACUGGUGUUCGGGUUGUCAUGCCAAUGGCACUGCCCGGUAGCUAAAUGCGGAAGAGAUAAGUGCUGAAAGCAUCUAAGCACGAAACUUGCCCCGAGAUGAGUUCUCCCUGACCCUUUAAGGGUCCUGAAGGAACGUUGAAGACGACGACGUUGAUAGGCCGGGUGUGUAAGCGCAGCGAUGCGUUGAGCUAACCGGUACUAAUGAACCGUGAGGCUUAACCUU